rnacentral:rRNA from 1 species
GACGAACGCUGGCGGCGUGCCUAAUACAUGCAAGUAGAACGCUGAAGAAGGAGCUUGCUUCUCUGGAUGAGUUGCGAACGGGUGAGUAACGCGUAGGUAACCUGCCUGGUAGCGGGGGAUAACUAUUGGAAACGAUAGCUAAUACCGCAUAAGAGUAGAUGUUGCAUGACAUUUGCUUAAAAGGUGCAAUUGCAUCACUACCAGAUGGACCUGCGUUGUAUUAGCUAGUUGGUGGGGUAACGGCUCACCAAGGCGACGAUACAUAGCCGACCUGAGAGGGUGAUCGGCCACACUGGGACUGAGACACGGCCCAGACUCCUACGGGAGGCAGCAGUAGGGAAUCUUCGGCAAUGGACGGAAGUCUGACCGAGCAACGCCGCGUGAGUGAAGAAGGUUUUCGGAUCGUAAAGCUCUGUUGUAAGAGAAGAACGAGUGUGAGAGUGGAAAGUUCACACUGUGACGGUAUCUUACCAGAAAGGGACGGCUAACUACGUG